UAAACUCUCGCUCAGAUGGGUAUUUUUUUUUCUAAUGACUAAAAUAUAGAAAUAGUCACAAUGUUCAAGUAUUCGCACUUGCUCUACCAACAAAACUAAGCACAUGCUUUUUGUACUCGUUAGCAACCCAUUGAUCAGUGAGACGACAGUUAGUAUAAUAACAAAAAUCAGGGACAAUGGUAUCACUUUUCAAUACGUCUGUUUGCCAUAAUACGUUGAGUUAUGUGCUUUUCAUUAUAAGUGUUGUAAUUCGCAUGACCUCACCAACAACAUCUAAUAAGUAUGUAGCAUCUACUUGCAGGAAAUGUUUAAAGAGUGCAAAUAAAGGGGUUUCGAGAUUAGUCUAAUACAACAUACCGGGCAAAUCGGUGUUGGUGGUUCACCUACAACAUCAACUGGUCGUAAUUGGAAAACAUGAAAAGCUCCAGCGGGAUUAAUUCCCUGGUACCAGCCUUCAGCUCAGAGAAACGUAGCUCUUGAUUCAAGAUUGUCGGGGUUUCAGAAAGCGAGUGCUUGUUUAAUAUUCAAGCAGGACGAAAAAGCUUUGCCUCGAAGGUCUCCGACGUUCUACAUAUCUAUACCAUGAGAGAGUUUCAGGAGGAGUAAAGAGGCAUUGAACCGGAUAUACUGGAGAGCGUUGGUGAGUGCCAUUACUGUCUGAUUUGAGGUGUGCAUCGUAAGAUGGUGAGAUGCCGUAUUUAUAGCUGAGGAUUAAGCCGGGUACGGUGGAAUAUGAAGAGGUGUAUUGAUUGAACAAUUCAAGUGGAAGGAGUGGAUUAAAAGGGGUGAGGUGGAGUUAAGUUGCAGAGUUAUUGAAAUUGGAGGCGUUAAGGAUUUUGAACAGGCUCGAAUCUCUGCGUCUCGCGGUCGAGGAUGAGAAGGUAGAAGACGAUACGGGAAAACCCUAAGCUCCAUCAGUUCAUAUGAGCGGGCUUCAAAAUGGGCUGUGAAAUAAAAACUAAAUAGCCAUUACAUUAGCCGAAGCCCAAAUCGAACAAGAAAAAAACAGAAAAAAAAACGCAACCAAUUAAAUGGCGACACGUGUCAACAAAUGCCCACCCCUAAAGAGGGACGUGGAAGGCUAAGGUGAGAGAAAAACCUGUUUUAUUAUUAUAGAUAAUGAACUAUGUGGGUAUACAAUUAAAGUAUUUUCUGAAUAUAAGAACUAUGUAGAUGGCUAAUUAAUUUGUUACCUUCAUCAUUAUAUUCUAAGUUGAUUAUCUGAACAGAAACCAUACAUACAAUCUCACGAGUAGAGAUACUCAUACUCAUAUGAGGUAUCUGGAUUACCUGGAGUAUCAAAAAGAAGAAAAAAAAGUUAACAUGUUUGACAUAUCAGUGGCUAUUAUAUAAUAAUAUAAUGAACUAUGUGGGUAUACAAUUAAAGUAUUUUGUGAAUAUAAGAACUACGUAGAUAGCUAAUUAAUUUGUUACCUUCAUCAUUAUAUUCUAAGUUGAUUAUAAGAGAAAACAUACAUACAAUCUCACGAGUAGGGAUACUCAUACUACAAAACAUUAAUGAAAUUGAAUGUUCACAUUGCCAUUGUAAGGUUAUCUCCUCGACUUCACUUGGUGGAAUGAUUAACUCUUAUCAACGCUUAGCAAAACUGAGGAAAUCAAGACUUGAGAGCAAAAUACUAUCUACAACCGUUCAUUGGAAACACAGUAAGUCAAAGAUAACUACAACAGUCAUAUCUUUUAGGAGUCUAUAAAUGAAAGCGAAGGACUUUUAUGUGAGAUUUCUACUUUUUUGCGAUAUUGAACUAUGUAUAUUGGUUUGAACGUAUAGUACACCCGCCAAAAAACGUCACACAACAUUAUAUUGCUAUAAUACGACUGCACCAUGUGUUAGCGAGUGCUUGCUAACAACAAGAAAAGAAAUGAUAGCGAUUGUUUAAACUCACUUUGAUAGUCAACUUGUUAAAUAUAGUUUCAACAAGCGGGCAGCCAAAGGCAAGUUCAAGUAACGUCUGCCAGCUCCAUAGGUCAUCUCCUACAUAGAAUAAGCCAUUAUCGCUUGAGAAAACACCCUUUUGCCUAGCUCCCCCCAUGAGUCAACCUGUAAUCAUCUAUUAUCUGAAGGCAACCCCAGUGCGAAAUUGAGUAUGGUCCCCAACAACAGCAAACGGACUGUUAUUCUCAAAGUGAACAAUAACAGGUGCGUAAGAGCACGAUCCUCAUAUGGUCCAUAUGUUAUCUCUUUCCCAUCUCGGUUUACAGGUGUGUAAGAAAGUUGUCUGUUAAAAAAAAAAAAAAAAAAAAAGAAAGUUGUCUGUUGCUUAAUAUGGUAUGGUGACAGUAUCACUGCACUAUCAAGGAAUGCGUCAUUGUGUAUAGGUAUAGCACUUCAAUUGUAACAGUUUCACCCAGGCCAAAGGGGCUAGCUCUGAUUUGCUCCAAUAACAACAAAAAUGUUGAGAGACUUCAGCCUUACUAAAAGCAAAGGAAAUAUUUACUCUUUUACAAUCUACCUAGUAGUUAUAUUUCUAAACACAAGUCAUUUUUAGAUUUCGUCUCUGUGUUUUGUUAUCAAAUCCCCAUGACUUUCACUUCAUCAGCAAUUCAGACAAUAUAAAAAAGGUUUGAUAUGUUUAUUAUCACAAAUCCAACACAAAGAAUUAACCCUUUCUCUCUUUCUUUUUCUCUUUGCUUUUACAUCAUUGAUACAUUCACCAAGACAAAUGAAACAGCCUUUCUUUCUCUCUAUUUGAAUUGCCUCACAUCUUCCAUCAUUCGCUCCCUUACCACUUUACAUGUACACAUUCAUUCUCCUACAUCCUCUUUCCCAUUCUUGCAAACCUUCUCGCUACUCCGAAUAUCACCGCCUUUGUCAACAGC